UACGGAGGGUGCAAGCGUUGCUCGGAAUCAUUGGGCGUAAAGCGUACGCAGGCUGUUCGUUAAGUCGGGUGUGAAAGCCCGGGGCUCAACCCCGGAACUGCGCCCGGAAACUGGCGAGCUUGAAUGCGGGAGAGGGAAGCGGAAUUCCUGGUGUAGAGGUGAAAUUCGUAGAUAUCAGGAGGAACACCGGUGGCGAAAGCGGCU
rnacentral:rRNA from 1 species